rnacentral:lncRNA from 1 species
UGACAAUAAAAGUAUUUGAUUUGAUGUAAACAAUUAAGAGGUCAUGAAUAUUAAGAACCGGCUUCAAGUCGGUUACCAAGCAACGUCAGCAUUACCUAAUUAAUAUUCAUGCAGCAAGCCUUUGUCUUAGUAGGAUUGGUAAAUUCGCGUGUAAGGGGCGGGGCGGGUGUGAUGACGUGUGACGGUCGCUGCGAAACACAGAUGCCUGUGUGUCUCGAGCGCUUAUUCCGCUGGAUGUUAUUGAUCCAAGCCACCGAGAAGGGCUGUAUCCCCCAUUCGUGCAGAAAUACAUCGGGUCACGGAUUUAAAGGAGGACUGAGAUACAAUAUCAGUUUAUGCCGUUUAACAUUCCGCAUAAAACAGGAGCUGUUUGUAAAUACAGCAUAUCCUAAAGCCCUCAUUAUAAAGCAUACAUCUGUGUCUGGAGCGCCUUCUCAUCACAUCAUUUCAUUAUUUAGCAUUCAUCUGCAGAUAUGGACGAAGAUAAUCAAGAAGUGAACUGCAUAUCUGAGACUGGAUCAGCAGGUUAAGCACUGCUCUUUUUUUUCCAGUCAAAUUAGAAACUUCAACGGCUGAAGGUGCAAAGAUCAGACUGCAUGGGAUGACCUACAUGCCAGUUUGCCAGUGUUUGUUAAGAGAGACUGUGAGCUGAUAUGUCUAUUGAUUUAAUUUAGUCAACAGAAUAUUCCCCAAGCUCCUGCUUUUCAAUAGGACACAUAUAUCAUAAAGCAGAGCUAUAUGGUUGAGUGAUGCAUUAAUGGUGGAUUAAUCUACUCAAAUUUAGUCAGAUAUUUAAGGACAUCUGUUGACAAAAUGGAGUAUUUGAACUGUAUUUGAACUAUUUUUUUUUUUUUUAGGUAUAAAAUAUUAGUGUAUGUUUGCUAUUAAUAAUAAUAAUUACAAGACUUUAUAUAGCAAAUAAAAUCUCAUAUAAUCUUAAUAUAAUCUACAGUUUGUUUCAUUCUCAGAAGUGAACUGCAUAUCUGAGACUGGAUCAGCAGGUUAAGCACUGCUCUUUUUUUCCAGUCAAAUUAGAAACUUCAACGGCUGAAGGUGCAAAGAUCAGACUGCAUGGGAUGACCUACAUGCCAGUUUGCCAGUGUUUGUUAAGAGAGACUGUGAGCUGAUAUGUCUAUUGAUUUAAUUUAGUCAACAGAAUAUUCCCCAAGCUCCUGCUUUUCAAUAGGACACAUAUAUCAUAAAGCAGAGCUAUAUGGUUGAGUGAUGCAUUAAUGGUGGAUUAAUCUACUCAAAUUUAGUCAGAUAUUUAAGGACAUCUGUUGACAAA